GACGAACGCUGGCGGCGUGCUUAACACAUGCAAGUCGAACGGAAAGGCCCUGCUUUUGUGGGGUGCUCGAGUGGCGAACGGGUGAGUAACACGUGAGUAACCUGCCCUUGACUUUGGGAUAACUUCAGGAAACUGGGGCUAAUACCGGAUAGGAGCUCCUGCUGCAUGGUGGGGGUUGGAAAGUUUCGGCGGUUGGGGAUGGACUCGCGGCUUAUCAGCUUGUUGGUGGGGUAGUGGCUUACCAAGGCUUUGACGGGUAGCCGGCCUGAGAGGGUGACCGGCCACAUUGGUACUGAGAUACGGCGCAGACUCCAACGGGAGGCAGCAGUGGGGAAUAUUACACAAUGGGCCGAAGCCUGAUGCAGCAACGCCGCGUGCGGGAUGACGGCCUUCGGGUUGUAAACCGCUUUCGCCUGUGACGAAGCGUGAGUGACGGUAAUGGAUAAAGAAGCACCGGCUAACUACGUG
rnacentral:rRNA from 1 species